rnacentral:rRNA from 1 species
GGGCCCGCACAAGCGGUGGAGUAUGUGGUUUAAUUCGAUGCAACGCGAAGAACCUUACCAGGAUUUGACAUCCUGCGAAUCUCUUGGAAACGAGAGAGUGCCUUCGGGAACGCAGUGACAGGUGGUGCAUGGCUGUCGUCAGCUCGUGUCGUGAGAUGUUGGGUUAAGUCCCGCAACGAGCGCAACCCACGUCUUUAGUUGCCAGCAUUUAGUUGGGCACUCUAGAGAGACUGCCGGUGAUAAACCCGGAGGAAGGUGUGGAUGACGUCAAGUCAUCAUGCCCCUUACAUUCUGGGCUACACACGUACUACAAUGCUACGGACAAAGGGCAGCAAGUUCGCGAGGACAAGCAAA